GUGGUGGAGAGUAAACUGGUGGUGGAGGAGAGUGCAUUGGUGGUGGCGGGGACUUGUACUUGUAAACUGGUGUUGGUGGUGGUGGAGAGUGCAUUGGUGGUGGUGGAGACUUGUAUUUGUAGACCGGUGUUGGUGGUGGUGGGGAAUGCUCGGGUGGUGGUGGAGAUUUAUAAACUGGAGUUGGUGGUGGUGGAGACUUGUACUUGUAAUGGUGUACUGGUGCGGGAGAAUGCUUAGGUGGUGGUGGAGACUUGUACUUGUAGACGGGUGUUGGAGGUGGUGGAGAUUUAUACUUGUAGACCGGUGUUGGUGGUGGUGGAGACUUGUACUUAUAGUGAUGUUCUGGUGCGGGAGAAUGCUUAGGUGGUGGUGGAGACUUGUACUUAUAGUGAUGUUCUGGUGCAGGAGAAUGCUUAGGUGGUGGUGGAGAUUUGUACUUAUAAACCGGUGUUGGUGGUGGUGGAGACUUGUACUUAUAAUGAUGCACUGGUGCGGGGGAAUGCUUAGGUGGUGGUGGAGAUUUAUACUUGUAAACCGGUGUUGGUGGUGGUGGAGAAUGUUUUGGCGGAGGUGGAGACUCAAAAUGAUAAGGCGUUGGAGGAGAAUGCAUAGGAGGUGGUGGAGACUUGUACUUGUAAACCGGUGUAGGUGGUGGUGGAGAAUGUUUAGGCGGGGGCGGGGAUUUGUAGUGGUAAGGCGGAGGAGGAGAAUGCUCCGGGGGUGGAGGAGAAUGCUCGGGAGGUGGUGGAGAGGAGUAAGAGUAUUUAGCUGUGGUUUGUGAAGCCAAAUUGAGGGACACCAAUACUACAAGCAAAGACACAAUGAGAGACCUCAUUUUGGAGCCUCUAGCAAUCCUUCCCAUGUUUACUACAACCAAAAGGCU
rnacentral:lncRNA from 1 species